UAGAAGAAUGGUGGCAAAUUUUGCAUUAAUAAUGAAAUCUAGAAAGCCUCUAAAAAUCUAAAUUAAGAUAAUGUCCUAAGUGUUCUUCUUCCAACUUUUUGAGCAAACCAGUUACCAAUGCUCUUCUUCCUGCCCUGCCUGCCCUCUGGUGGAGGUGUUAAAGAGCAGGCCUGGAGAUCAAGCAAGCCAUAAGGGAACUAGAAGUUGUGAAAAAGACCAGGCCAAGCAGAUGCAUCCUCUCUAGACUUUGAUUCAAGAACUGGUGACUCAAAGCAGCAGGGAUGACGCAGAAUCCGUUCUGGCCAGGGCAUAGCAGCAAUGGCAGCUGCAUCCGGUUUCCAGUGGCGGGAGAGACAGCUGUUCUGUGGCAGUGUGCAGUGUCCAGCAUCCAAGGACUUGGCAUUGCAAAUUACGAGGUGUGUAUGUCUAAGAGGAGAGAGUUUGGAGAACAGAUCAUCAGCCACAAAGCACUCAACCCUGAUCUCCCAUUAUGAAAAUGAACAACAAAUGUUUGUUAAAUGCCUGCUAUGUGUGGGAAUAGUCAUUUUCCUAGACUAGCGACAUCAGCAUCACCUGAGAGCUUGUUAGAAAUUCAAAUAGGAAGCUUUGGGAUUGGAGCCCAGCAAUCCGUGUUUUAACAAGCCCUCCAGGAGAUUCCCAUACAUAUUAAAGGUGUCAUUUAGAACUGGAAUUUCACUGGGUAAUGGUAAGGUGGGGACUGGGCUGGGCAUCCUGUGGGCAGCAUGGGGUAGUGGCUGAGCACAGAGCUCAUUCCUCUGACUCCUUAGGGGGUGCACCUCUCGCCACCUCAGGACUUGCAUUUGGGGAGAGGAAUCAUUCUUCUCUGGGAGUCAGAUCUCAUUCCAGAUAAAAUGCUCAAAUCGGAGAUAUUCCAAUUUGUGGUUAAUACUGUGUGCCGGGAAAACAAAGCUGUUCUCUAUUGCUGUCAUGACAUUCGCUUAUGGAGCAGGAGGAGGGACCUAAGAAGGAGGGAAAGGGGACAAGAGAGCCUGAAAAAGAUUUGAUCCCUACCAUUACCAUGUGUCCUUCCCACUACCCUGUCCCACAACUCUUUCCCCAUUUGCCUCUUGACCUCCCUGGGUCCGGCAUGCUCUCCAGUGAAUUUUGGGAGAGCUGAAACAGUGAAGGGGAGCUAUGUACUAGAGAUGGUGUAGAGAGGGAGGAUGCCCCAGGCCAGUCCCUGCCUCACCCUUUAACCAACAAGAUUCUGAUUCCAAGGGCAAGUUGCACCUUCACUAACCAGAGCUAUAACAGUAUUCAACCCCACUUCCUUCUGCUUUUUUUUUUUGGGGGGGGGGUUGCAGAAAGCAAUUCCUGGAAAUAGAACUUGUCUUUCACUUCAACAGGAUGUAACUCUGAUGUACAUUCCAAUGUCAGCUGUUGGUGACCCAGCCCUCAAUAGGAAGGCCAGCCCAUCCCUACACUAGUCCUUGGCUGAGAGUGCGUGACUGCUUCCCAACUUCCUGAGGGGCACAGAGCUUGUCACUCCUCCGCACACAGUCUCAGUAGUCAGAUUUAGGGACCAGUCAUGCUUGGAAUCAGUAUUCCCAGCAAGAAAGCUUUCCUUUUGGAAAUUUUUGAUCUUUGCAUCAUCAAAGAGACUGGGAGAGAGCAGUCUUUAAUUUUUACUUAUGGCUUGAAAUUAUUAUGUAAAUAUAUGAAAGAGGGGAAACUGAGUGGACUCAGUCACUAGACAUCUGAGUCUUUAUUUCAAAAUCAAUUUUUUGCAAGAUGACUACUCAGCUACAUACAUUGAAAGAGACUAGUGACCCAAGGACAGAAGACAGAAGGGUUGGUUUAUCUGGGUUCCAUAUAAUCCAUAUGCAAGGAGAUAGAUUUGUCUAACACUGAAAAAACCUCAACUAAGUCAUUUAAAAAAAAUUUUUUUUAAUGUUUAUUUAUUUUUGAGACAGAGACAGAACAUGAAUGGGGGAG